rnacentral:rRNA from 1 species
GACGAACCGAGCGAACGUUGUUCGGAAUCACUGGGCUUAAAGGGCGCGUAGGCGGGCUGCCGCGUCCGGGGUGAAAGCCUCCCGCUCAACGGGAGAACGGCCUCGGAUACGGGCGGCCUCGAGGGGGGUAGGGGCGUGCGGAACUGUGGGUGGAGCGGUGAAAUGCGUUGAUAUCCACAGGAACUCCGGUGGCGAAGGCGGCACGCUGGACCCCAUCUGACGCUGAGGCACGAAAGCGUGGGGAGCAAACAGG